AGAGAAGCAAUACCGCGAGGUGGAGCAAAACUUCAAAAAUGGUCUCAGUUCGGACUGUAGGCUGCAACUCGCCUACACGAAGUUGGAAUUGCUAGUAAUCGUGGAUCAGCAUGCCACGGUGAAUACGUUCCCGGGUCUUGUACACACCGCCCGUCACACCAUGGGAGCUGGUAACACCCGAAGUCAGUAGUCUAACCGCAAGGAGGACGCUGCCGAAGGUGGGAUUAGCGACUGGGGUGAAGUCGUAACAAGGUACC
rnacentral:rRNA from 1 species